rnacentral:rRNA from 1 species
CCUACGGGUGGCAGCAGUCGAGAAUUUUUCUCAAUGGGGGAAACCCUGAAGGAGCGACGCCGCGUGGAGGAUGAAGGCUUUCGGGUUGUAAACUCCUGUCAUUUGAGAACUAGUAUCAGAAGAGGAAGAGACGGCUAACUCUGUGCCAGCAGCCGCGGUAAUACAGAGGUCUCAAGCGUUGUUCGGAUUCAUUGGGCGUAAAGGGUGCGUAGGUGGCGGGGUAAGUCAGAUGUGAAAUUUCGGAGCUCAACUCCGAAACUGCAUUUGAUACUGCCUUGCUUGAGGACUGGAGAGGAGACUGGAAUUCAUGGUGUAGCAGUGAAAUGCGUAGAUAUCGUGAGGAAGACCAGUGGCGAAGGCGGGUCUCUGGACAGUCCUGACACUGAGGCACGAAGGCCAGGGGAGCAAACGGGAUUAGAUACCCUUGUAGUC